rnacentral:snoRNA from 1 species
CGCCACAGCUUUUGUCAGGGUACCACGCCAGCGCCGCUUUAGGCCAUCUUUAAAUGGUUGGAAUCUGUUACAGCAGUGGCAGAUUAAUAUCUCGCCCGCCCAGGUCAGGUAGCGUUUUGUUACCUGGCCGCCUUAGGGUCGAGAGCCUGUCCCUGUUUUGAGUAGCGAUCUUGAGCCUGCGUUUCGCGCGGGCCAACGUGAAGGACUGCUUAGUCUUGGGACAAACAUCU